AAGAGUUGUUUUUGCUCCGUUUUGAGUAAACAAAGUAAAAUGUGUCAGUAGAGUGGGAGCAAAAUUACAGAGUAACUGUAACAGAGUAAAAUUUUUCCCUCCUAAUUUCCGUUUAUCUGCCAUUGCUGUAUAUAAUGUUAAAACAGAGUAACAAUAAAGAUUAAUGACACGCCUGCAUAUACUUCUUUUGUAAAAAAAAUAAACAAACAACUUCUCAAAAAAUAGCAUUUAAUAACUAAUCUAAAUUAAACUAAUUACAAAAAUGAACACUUAAAAGUACGUAAACAUAAUAAAUAACUAAAAGAACAGAAACCAUCUUUGGGGAUAAUAUCUGUAUAUAAGUGUACUUAGAUUUUUAAGUUUGAUUCACGUAGCAUUCGAUUACAUAGAGUUUGGGGGCUUUAUGACCUACACGGCACCCCGCCACCAGAGGGCGAUAGAAAUAUUUACUUCACUCACCGUGACUCCCUUGGUAACGGCCAUAUCGAUCACUGCUGGUUAAGAAGACAAGCUGCUUUCUGCUGGAUGGUGAAGAUGUAAACCAACAGCUUUGUCAAAGUAAAGUGAAGUUAAACUGACGAGCGUCUGGAGUUGGGCACCACAUGAUUCAAACCAACAAUGUUGUCAGAGUAAAGUUCAAAGACAGCAAGAAAUAUAUGGGCUGUUU